CCGCCGCCCCCAAGCCCCUCCCACUAGCGAGCCGCCGCCGCCCCGAUCCCCCUCCCACCAUCGCACCGUCGUCGCCCCCAAGCCCGUCUCACCAGCGCGCCGCCGCCGCCCCGAUCCCCCUUCCACCAGCGCGGCGCCGCCACCCCCAAGCCCCUCCCACCAGCGCACCACCGCCAACCCCAAGCCCCUCCCACCAGCGCGCCGCCGCCGUUGCCCCGAUCCCCCUCCCACCAGCACGCCGCCACCACCCCAAACUCCCUCCCACGGCCAUAUCACCCGCGCCGCCGGCCGCGCCUCCCUCCCGCACGCCACCUGCGGCUGCCACGCCAUGGCAGGCACUGAGCCAUUGCGGUAGUACAACUGCACGCUCCACCGCUGGUCAUGAGAAGAGUUGCGUGCAGGCCACCCGUGCUCUUCCCUGGAUCCGAUUCAGUUGUCUUCCUCUCAUCCUCUCUCUGUUUGCGUGUGUGUAUGAAGGAAGUGAGAGGAGAUAGAACAAGGGAGUGAGCGAUCCCUAUUCUCAUGUCUGUUAGAUGUGGGUAUGUGAUUUCCCAAUGUCAAAUCCCACGUUUGUCUUGAUUAGUUGUAGUUUUAUGGAUCUUGUUCUUGUGCAAUGUAAAUCUGUGUAUAGUUCACCCAUUUUCUCUCUGAAACUGUGAGCUGACAGAGCAGAGAUGAGUUGACAGUGUGGGUUCAGGUAGUGAGAUUUGCAGCUAGUUGUUUACUUGUUUAGGUGGUUGCAAGGGCUUAGUCCAUGAGUUCUAUUUGAUUACAGUCAGGCCACUAGUUAGUAUUGUGGUACUCCGUUGCAAGAAAAAUGGGUCGUCGGUUCAGUUAUAGGCACCCAACUCUGAAGAUUUUGAAUUUUUAGCAUGGUAUUUUAAGUUUGUUUUUUAUCAUAUAAUGUAAAAUUGUAAACAUGUUUCCAAUGGUCUUUGCUCCCAGUUCUAAACUUAUUCAGUAUGUUAGUACAGUCGUCGCGGUCGCCACCCCGACGCCUAACCCGCCAACCUGCGUCGCGUUGCCCGGGAUCCCCGAGCACUGUCGUGCCCCGUCACUGGUGCCUGACGGUGAGGGCUACCGUCUUUCCCGACAAAGCAGGCUACCAUCCGUCCAUUGACAAUGCGCAUGUCCAGCCGUUGCUGCAUCUCUCUCUGCCCGUGGAUGCUCGUGUGCUAUAGUUUCUUUCUACCCUUCUUGUACAUGCUGUUACUCACCUUUUUAUCUCUCUGAUGCGUUGUGUUGCACUACUACAGCUCGAUCCAGGAGGUGCUAGCUCAUGUUGGCUGGAACUAGGAUGCAAAAGAGUUGACGGAUCCAUGCCGCACAAGCACUGGUGCUCUGCUUUCUUCUUACUUUGUGUUCUAAUUUGCUUUCUUCUUAUUUUCAGUUUGCGAGAUACAAAAAGAAGUUAAAAAAAUGUUGUGCCUGGAGUUCAUAUUAUUUGCUACCCCAUGAUGUACGUCUAUAGUUUCUCCCUCCAAAUGUGUUGGUCCAUGUGGUUGUUUUUUUGUUUUCUUUUGUUUUGGAUCUACGAAAAAGGUUAUUGAAGCUCAAAUGUGAUAAGCACAUAAGUUCAGAUCUCCGCUGCUACAAAGUUCACGUAUACCUCUGUCUGUUUUAAUCGUGACAUACAAAUUUUGCACUACGAGAAAGUUCAGAGGCAAGAAAGUAGAAAAUAAAGAACACAAAAAUAUCAACAAAAAAUUCACUAGGAGAAAAGUUCAAGUCAGGAUAUGCAAGAAAAGUUCUUAUUUUAUUUCUGUUCAAUUUCAAAUUCUAGUGAAAUUUCAUUUCUUAUUUAAUUUAGUCUAGUUUCUUAUUUUAGUUUAGUUCAAUAUCUAAUUUUUAUUCAGAUCAAUUCUUAUUUUAGAAAAAAAAUUGAAUUGUUUCUUUAUCUACAUUCUUCUAUUCAACAUCAGGGAGAAGGUGCCUCAUGUUAAAAGUGUGCCCAGAUUUUCUAAGUUUGACAGUUUUUCAGUUGGUGUAGAGCUUGUCAAAUCGACAGUUUUUCAGUUCGUGUGGAGCUUGUCAUAGUUUUAUGCAGAUAAAGCUUUAUAAAAAUGCACUAAAAGUGUUCUGUUUUUUGGUAUCUCACAGAUGUGUGUAGCUAUUGUAUGUCUUCUGAAUCAUGAUGCUUGUUGUCCUUUUGUACAUAUCUUUAGUGUGCGUGUCGAAGGCCAGUAAGUUCUACUGCCAGUAUACGCCAAGUUCAGAGAUGUUGCCGCCGAUGGCAUGGAGUGAGCCGCAUCUCGCACCUCCACCAGCUGCAGUUCACGGCCUCCGCCAGCUGAAGGUCCUGAGGAUCAUUUUUCUCUGAUGUCCAUGUAUCGAGAUAUGGUAUCUGAUCAGUUCCACAAAUAUUUGGAGCUAAACAACUUAGCUAGUUCGGUCGUACUGACCCAUUGGCCUGUUUUACUACCUCUCUAAAUAAAGUUGCAAGAAUGACUAACACGUGAAAAUAGGAAUUAAUGUGUAAACCGGUACAUGCUCCUUGUUGAUAAAAUCUAGCCCAUUCAAAGUAGUCAUGAUUGUACUGGCAUGCUAUGUUUCAUCGUUAUCUAACAGUGCAUACAUCGUUAUCUAAGUGCAGUACAUCAUUAUCUUAUAGUGCAGUACGUCGUUAUCUUACAGUGUAGUACAGUAAUUCAUGAUCUAACAUUUUUACAGGAACUGCAUGCUAUAUACAGAAAUUCUAUAGAAACUACUGCAGAUACAUGACUUAUGAGGCUACCAGAGGCUACUACACCUCCAUAUUAUUGACAACCUGUAACUUGCUUCCAACACACUAGUAACACAUUCUAAGGUUCCUAAUCGGCUACUUCAGAGCGCUGUUGCUAUUCUGUGGGUAAAUGUCCUCAUUUUGUUGAUGGUGGCAUCUUACAAAGAAAAGGAAGUUCGAGAUGGGAACACUUUUUCAAAUGCUCACCUCCCAUUCGUGAUGCUGCCAACAAGGAAAACCUCUGGGAAGCUCUGCUGUACAAACACAUCAGCAUAGUAAGGAUGCGGCACCUUGGGGAAUAAUGCCUACAAUGCGCAAGCCCAGGAUGACGACGCUGAUCACUAGCACGAAGGAUAGGCUAAGGAUGAAGUACACGAUGCAGGCAAUGAGGACAAUGAAAACAUGCAAUCUGUAAACAUAGCAGCAGCUGCAAGUUCUUCUGUGUAUUAUGAUAUGAUUGCUACUUUUUAAAAGAAAGUGUAUAUGAUAGUUUGAUGUUUCUGCAAGAAAUGAAAAAAUGGUUUGAAUUAAAAACAUUGAUCAGUACGAAUAAAAAACAAUUAUCUGUU